AAAUGUGUUCUCCUUGUUAGCCCAGGUCAUUGGCCAAGCAAGGCAUGAAGGCCAUGACAACUACUAGAAAUAAUAUAGAUGGGUAAUUCUGCCUGGAUGAAUGGAUGACCUCAAGAAGAUAUGGAAAUAUAAGAUUUAGGAUAGUGACUGCACUGUACAUCUGUAGAACCAAAUAAUACAUUAACAUUGUCUGUGAUUUUAAAUGGCAGUUUGGAGAAAAGUUCCAGUAUGGUUGCCAGGAUUGUGUCUGUGAUAAGGCAUCUGCAUCCAUCAAGUGUAAACCAAAGCAGUGUUCAAACAACCAAAUAACUUGCAGCGAGCCAGAUUUAUUGUGGUCAAUGCGACAGAUCCGUCAGAUGCCUGUUGCACUAUUCUUACCUGCCGCUGUGAGAGCAGCACCUGUCCCAGUGUAAAGAAUUGGUGUCCAAUCGGCUUCGCUCCUGUAGCCAAAGUGCCUGAAGGGAAAUGCUGCCCUGAAUUCACAUGCGAGCCAAAGAAUGUCUGCGUACAUAA
ensembl:lncRNA